rnacentral:misc_RNA from 1 species
UAUAUAUAUAUAUAUAUAAUUUUGAACAUAAUUAAUCAAGCUUUCCUUGUCCUCUAUUCUAUAACCACAUUUCAACUCCAAAUAAAAAAAUAUAUUUAUUAAAAAAACCAUCAAAUAUUCAAUAUUAACAAACUUUCCUUUACCAUUGGAAAUAGUAUUUGGAUGAAAUUUGAUAACAUUUAAUGUAUAUACAUCUGUAAAAAGAAUUUGCAUGAUUUGUCUCUGUAUACAGAAUCGCUUUUUUUUUUUUUAGCUAGGAAUUCGUUGCCCAUCUAGAUAGAAUAAAUGAGAAAAUAAAUGCCCUAACAACCAACAAUCCAAUCCUGUUUCUCAACCAAAAAAAACAAAAUCAUCCUGAGCUGUAAAGUGAAAAAUCAAUUAAUUUUCUGGUGGUUGCUAGCUUCCCUUGCCACUACUGAAGAAGAAAAAGAAGAAGAGAAUAAAUGAUAUAUGAAAACAUAACAAAGAUGAAGAAGAAAUAAGAACUUCUAAUGCAUCAAGAGGUUAUGCAGAAGCAAUCAUGUUGAGAACAUAAUUAUAUAUAUGGUAGACAUGCUCUUCACAUUUUUAUUUUCUUUUUGAAAAUAUAAGACUGCUACUUCUCUUCAAGUCAUAUUCUACAUCAAUGGUGUAUGGAUCAAAUACUAGAGAGUAUAUAAAAGCAACUACAAUUAGAGAAAAUAAAUAUGAUAAAUGGCUAUAACAUAAAUGUUUUUGCAUUUCUUUUUGCACCCAUUGACUAUUACCUAUAAAGAAUUGUCUUGGCCAAAGAAUUUGUACAAAAAAUGGAAACCCAAAACAUGAGAGAGAGAGAGAAUAAAAAACUGAAGAAAGAGAAGUGUAGGAAUAGAUGGCUAUAAAGAUGUAGGAGAUAUUGGAAGAGACCUUGACAAGAAGAGAGAGUGUAA